rnacentral:rRNA from 1 species
GAUGAACGCUGGCGGCGUGCCUAAUACAUGCAAGUCGAGCGAACGGACGAGAAGCUUGCUUCUCUGAUGUUAGCGGCGGACGUGUGAGUAACACGUGUAUAACCUACCUAUAAUACUGGUAUAACUUCGGGAAACCGGAUCUAAUACCGUAUAAUAUUUUGAACCGCAUGGUUCAAAAGUGAAAUACGGUCUUGCUGUCACUUAUAGAUGGAUCCGCGCUGCAUUAGCUAGUUGGUAAGGUAACGGCUUACCAAGGCAACGAUGCAUAGCCGACCUGAGAGGGUGAUCGGCCACACUAGAACUGAGCCACGGUCCAGACUCCUACGGGAGGCAGCAGUAGGGAAUCUUCCGCAAUGGGCGAAAGCCUGACGGAGCAACGCCGAGUGAGUGAUGAAGGUCUUCGGAUCGUAAAACUCUGUUAUUAGGGAAGAACAUAUGUGUAAGUAACUGUGCACAUCUUGACGGUAACUAAUCAGAAAGCCACGGCUAACUACGUG